rnacentral:rRNA from 1 species
AGAGGGGUGCAAGCGUUAAUCGGAAUUACUGGGCGUAAAGCGUACGUAGGUGGAUAGACAGGUUGGAUGUGAAAGCCCCGGGGCUUAACCUGGGAAUGCCAUACAAAACCGUCUAUCUAGAGUACAGUAGAGGAAAGUGGAAUCUCAGGUGUAGCGGUGAAAUGCGUAGAUAUCUGAAGGAACACCAGUGGCGAAGGCGACUUUCUGGACUGAUACUGACACUGAGGUACGAAAGCGUGGGGAGCAAACAGGAUUAGAUACCCUGGUAGUCCACGCCGUAAACGAUGAGAACUAGCCGUUGGGAGCCUUAGAGCUCUUAGUGGCGCAGCUAACGCGUUAAGUUCUCCGCCUGGGGAGUACGGCCGCAAGGUUA